rnacentral:rRNA from 1 species
AAUGAACGCUGGCGGCAUGCCUAACACAUGCAAGUCGAACGAAGUCUUCGGACUUAGUGGCGCACGGGUGCGUAACGCGUGGGAAUCUGCCCUUGGGUGCGGAAUAACUUCUCGAAGGGGAUGCUAAUACCGCAUAAUGUCGUAAGACCAAAGAUUUAUCGCCCAAGGAUGAGCCCGCGUAAGAUUAGCUAGUUGGUGGGGUAAAAAGCCUACCAAGGCGACGAUCUUUAGCUGGUCUGAGAGGAUGAUCAGCCACACUGGGACUGAGACACGGCCCAGACUCCUACGGGAGGCAGCAGUGGGGAAUAUUGGACAAUGGGCGAAAGCCUGAUCCAGCAAUGCCGCGUGAGUGAUGAAGGCCCUAGGGUUGUAAAGCUCUUUACCAGGGAUGAUAAUGACAGUACCUGGAGAAUAAGCUCCGGCUAACUCCGUGCCAGCAA